UGUCAGGGUGGAGAGGUGGCUCAUUACAUGGAUUUGACCUGAUUUGGAGGAGGAAAGUCACCCUCUUCAUUAGAAGGCGGUGGUGUCUCCACGUGGGUGAGCUCUGGUACCAGGGAUCAAACCCAGGCCCUCGAGCAUGCGAGGCAAGUGCUCUGCCACGGAGCUGCUCCCCAGCCCUGGCCUGGGCUUCUUGACCAGAGGCUCAGUGUUCUUCUGAUCUUUUCUUCCCCGUCUGUAAAGUCAGUCCAGAAACACCUACUGCGUACCUAGGGGAGAAAGUGCUUCAUAGAGACGCAGAGUCACGUUGCCCUUUUUAGACAUCUACUGAGACUCACUGCUCCUGUGUUCUGUGCACACCCCGUCACUCCAGGCUUCUCUACCUGAGAUGUACAAAGAAACAUGGGCAGGGUCAGUCCCCACUGUGCGCCGCCUGCUGCCUCCUGACCAGCCUGUGCGACACCGUUGGGGCGAUUCUGGCCAGACAGCUCACGAUCCAGGUAUGUUGGGCCCCACAUGGUGGCAGCCACAGUGGCUUCUGUUUUCUUCCUUCCACCGCAAGGCAGUUCCCCCUCAGGGCCUGUGUCCUUCUGUUCCUUCUAGCGCCCAUCAAAUGCUCUUCUCCCUGAUGUCCAUGUGGCUCACCACUGACUUCCUUCAAGUGUCUGCUGAAAGUCAUCUUCAAAAUAAGUCCCCCAACCCCCCGUGUAGAAUCAUAACCCACCUCCUCCUCCAGCAGUCCAGGGCCCCUCAUCCUGCGCUAUUUUUUCCACAGCUUAACCCCUCAUUCACCACAUACUUACCCUUAUUGCUCAUUGUCCAUUAGCCCCACCAGAAAAUCAGCUUCACAAGGCAAGGAGUUCUUUACCAUCUUACCCACCACUUCAGAAAGCUUAUAGUAGAUGCUCAAUAAAUAGUUAUUAUGGUUGUUACGGUUUUUAAAGCUCUGAGCCCAGCCCCAGCUGACUCAAGGGCAGCUGAAUCCUUUCCCAGCUGCUUAUGCGGGCUUUGGAGCAAGUGAGAAGCCAUCUCUAGUUUCCCGAAAGUCAGGCCCUCACACAAACCUCUGUAGAAGCGUCCUAUCUGCAAACAUCUCCUAAGGAAGACUUGCUGGGUCCCACUGCAGGGACCUCAUGGGCCUUGUGCCCACCAAGGUGGAAGUAAAGGAGGUGACCUAGUGGUCAGGACACAGGUUGCGAGACUUCUAGGCCCUGCUUUGAGCAGUGUUCUCUCAGAAGUAAACCCCUUUUUUUAUGGGUGCUCAUUCCAUAGAAUGAGGCCCCAUUCAAGUCCGAAGAUAAUAACUAAUGUUUACUAGAUACUUAACUAUAUCCUUUCAUGUAUUACCUAUUUAAUCCUCAGACUCUCCUAUGGCAUGUGCUCAUCUCCCCCCUUCUAUAUAGGUGGAAACGGAGGCAUCAAGACGUUAAAUAAUUUCUGAAAGAUCACCAGCCAAUAAGUAGUGUCAGGAUUCCAACUCCACCACGCGGGCUCCUAACCUAAGUGUACUGUCGUAGUCACUGGCACCUUUGUAGGUCCUUUACUCUCUCCAGGCGCUGUUCUAAGCACUUUCCACCAAUUAUCUCAAGAAAUCUUCUCAACAGGUUUUGGGGAGGCUCUGUUAUGCCUGUUUCACAGGUGGGAAAACUGAGGUUCAGGGAGAUCAGUGGUUGGGCCAUAGUUAGACAGCCAUGGAAUGUGUGCGGAGCCAAGCAAAGGGCUGGGUUCUUGUCCUAUCUCCACCUGUGGGCAUCUGUGUAACUUGGGGUCAGUUGUUGGAGGACGCUCCAUGUGCUCAAACAUGGGUGGGAGGGAUCACUGGACUGAUUAUACUGGGGCAGGGGGUCUUGGGCUGAUAGCCACCAUAAUUGCUGGGAAAAGACGCUCGAAUGCCAAGACUGUUUCCGUCUGCCCCCAGGUUUUCAGUGGUGCCUACCUAGCCACUAUUGACUUAGCCAACUUCAUGUUCAUCCUCUUCCCAGUCUGUGGAUCCAAAUUCAAGUCUCAUUCGGGUGAGCAUGUGGCCGUGUGCUCCUGUCUUCCUUCAAACAUUCAUUCAUCAGUUGGCUUGGUGCCUGCUGCUUGUCACACCCUGAACUGGGCCCCAGGCAGGCACAGACAAAUGAACGAGGUCCUUGACAUCUGCCAGAUGAGACAGCCAGGGCCCUAAGCUAGUCUCUAAUCACCAGUGUCAGCUUGGAGAUGUGUGCACACUGUGGGCAACCAGAGGGAGGGAACUGGCUGCAGGUAUCAGGGAAGCGCUCAAUAUGGAACUGGGAGCCCAGGAAGGGGCAGUCAGGUGAGCAGAACAGCCUGGGCCAGGGCUAGGAACAGGGAUGAACAGCACAUAAGUCUGGGUAGCCAAGCAAAGCCCCCAAACUUCUGUAAAUGGAUACCAGAAAAAGUUUGGACCAGCCCUAGCAGAACAGGGUCUGGAAUGACUGAGAUGGACAAGGAGCCCUGAAUAUGUGAGACUGAUGGUUCCUGAGAAGGGAUAUCCGUGUGCUGGGGUCCCUGUUCAAAUGAGGGUUUGCUUGUCCCAGUGAGGGAUAUACUGUGCCCCCAGCUGCUCCAUGCUGCCCAGAGGAGAAGUGUUCUUAGAUGCUCAGAGGAGUGUGUGUCUUAGAUCUCAAGUGAACUGUCAAAGACUUUUCUUGUUGCUGUUUGCCCUGCUUAUCAUGCACGAGCCUGGUAUAGACUGUUCAUUCAUGGGUGCAUUCAUGAAACUUGGCCCAGUUCUGCUCUGUGCAGAUUAUGGAAAUGACCAGGGCAUGGUGUCCAUCCUUGAAGUGAAGGGCACCAAUUGUUAGGGGAAAAGGGAAGGCAUCUCAAAGAGGUGGCCUAACCCCAGGGGCUUGAGGUGGGAAGGACCUGGCUGCAGCACAACAUGCCAGCUCUUCCCAUGCAGCCACCUGGCAAGUUCUAGGUUCCAGAAGACACAUGGGAUUUUGGUGUCUCUUGCAGGCCGACACACCAGAAAGAGGAAGAGGAGGAAGCAGCUCAGAGCUGGCGUAUUUGCCCUGGCUCUGCCUCUGAGCCUGGGCCCAGGCUGGGCUCUCUGGGCUGCUGUUCCAAAGGCUUCAGCUCUGGUCCGGGGGCCCCAGCGGAGGCUGCUGGGAAGCCUGCUGCAGGUGAGGCUGAGCCCCCUCAGUGAGCACACAGGGUAGGGAAGGUUGCCUCACUCCUUGGGGUCCCUGCUUGCUGAAUGCCCUGGGUGCGUUGGGAGUGGGGCUGGGGGCCAGUGAGCCCUUGCCAUUUUGGGAAGGAAACUUCUAAAAGCAGAAAAGUGCCCAUCAGGUUCUUUUGCUUCUUGGGACACAUGGAUGAUCCCAUAGAAUGCUGAGAAUGUCAUCUAUUCUUGCAGGAAAAUACCGAAGUCCUCGGCUACCUGCUGGGUGUCAUUGCUGCCUUGGGCGCCUGGGCCUCUCGGAUACCCCCACUCUCCAGAAUCGUGAGGCUGGGGUGGGGCUGGGGCUAUAGGUCAUGUGGCAGGUUCCAGGACACAGGGAGCAUCCUGGAGGCUCCAGGUCAUCCUGGAGCUGUGGUGUCACUGUGCAUGUGACACACAUGCACUUACAUUUCUCUGAAGAGCUACAACAAAUGACAGAAGUGAGGGUGUGUAUACAGGGAGUGGGCAGCUGAGCCAGGGUGUCCUGAGGCCAUCUGGGGGCUCUGAUGGAAGGCCCACUGUGUUCUUUCCCUUUCUUCUUUUUUUUAAAUGGUCCUGAGGCUUCAUUCAUGCUAGGCAAGCUAGGCAGGUACUUUACCACUGAGCGACAUCCACAGUCCUUUUUAUUUUGAGUAGGAGUCUAAGUUGCCCAGGCUGGCCUUGAACUUCAGGCCUCCUGCUGCAGGCUCUCGAGUCACUGGGAUUAUAGACAUGUGCUAUCACACCAGCCUGUUUCCCAUUUCUUAUAGCCAAGGAAAAGCAGACGAGGGAAAAGCCACUGGGCUGGAACAAACAAGGGUCCCUCUCAAGUGCAAAGGGCCUAGAGGUCAGGUGCAUUCAGCUCCUAGGGCUCUGUAGUCCCAGAGCUUCUUAUUAGCAGAUGUUUUGCAAGUAUCUGGGGUGAAGGAAGCCCUGCUGGCCAGUCCUGUUGGGAGUACAGAUGUGAGGUGUCCUUGAAGAGCUCAUAGUCUCAUCAGGGACAGAAUGUGCAACAAGAUAUUUUAGUGCUCUAAGAAAGGUAGAAAGGAAGGUUUGGUAUUUUGGAAGACGAGGGAGAAGGCUCCUAAGCAGUUCUAGCAAGCAAAGAGGAGACCAUCCCCGCUGCCAGGCUGUGAGCAGUAGAGAGCUCUCAUGGGGGCUCAGAGGGGAGAGUGGGAUAUGAGGCAGCAGAGGUGAGGGAAGGACAGUUGGGCAGAGGAAAAGGUACAGGAACGUCACCAUUCACAGAGCCUGAGAAGGGCAAGCUCCAGAGCUGGUGUGACAACUGCUCUGCCAGGUGUUCUUGGCAGGCUCUGACACAGGUGUUCCUGUCUCAGGAACAGCGCCAAUGCUAACUCCAUGAAAUGUAGGAGGCCCAUCAUGGGGCCUAAAAAGGAUCAAAGCCCAGAAGCACCAUGUUUUGUUAAUAUAUUCUUUGUUGUUAAUGGACUUUAUUUAUUUAUAUGUGGUGCUGAGAAUCAAACUCAGAGCCUCAAACAUGCUAGACAAGUGCUCUACCACUGAGCCACAACCCCAGCCCAAGCACCAUGUUUUAAUAACAGAAGGGAACAGGAUUCAAGGAUGGAGGUAGGGACUGGGGACUGGUGCUCAUUUGCCUGAAGGUUUAGUCCCUUGCUAAAGGCCAGAAACACCCCAGGGUAUGACCUCACCAGCAGGUGUCCCGGCUUCAGACUUAAGAGGGGAAACAGGGAGCCCUGGGCUUAGUCCACUUGGUGGGUCUCCAGGGUGGCCUGGGGACUGGGGAGCCCCACUGCAGAAGACCUUUGACGGAGCCAGGACAGCACCCUGACUGCCUGUGGUGUUCCCUAGGGCCACAGUGGGGCCUUCAGGAUGGGGAACCCCAAGGCCUCCAGUUCCAGCUGCCCUGCUGCCUGUCUGAGGUGGGAAGGCCCAUGGGAAAGGGCCUCAGCCUCUGGGGCAGGGGCCAAGCCCACCCCUCCUGGCCAGGUACUCUGUACCUGACUGUGCUGUCUUGAUUCACCAGUCUCCAGUGGAUUGUGGCCAGAAACAGGCCCUGGAGCAAAAGUAGAUGAAAUGCAGACACAUUCAUGAGGAUUCUUUUUGAGAACUAAAAUGGGAGGAAAUUGGCCCAAACAUGCUCUUCCCUGCAUUUUUUCCCAUUCCUUAGCCAAGUCACAAUGCCUCUAAAUAUGGUCAUCUAGUAAAAAUACUAUACAUAAAUAGAAGUAAUUUAAAAUAUGUAAUUGUAUCCAAUUAAUAGUUUUGUGGGGCUGGGGAUGUGGCUCAAGUGGUAGCGCGUUCGCCUGUCAUGCGUGCGGCCCGGGUUCGAUCCUCAGCACCACAUACAAACAAAGAUGUUGUGUCUGCCAAUAACUAACUAAAUAAAUAAAUAUUAAAAAAAAAUAGUUUUGUGGACAUGCAUAUAUAUUAUCUAGAUAGAUAGAUAUAGAUAGAUAGAUAUAUGGUGGCUCAGUACCUGUAAAGGCUACUUACAUAUAAAUAUUGCAUGUUUCUUGUUUUUGAACCAAUAUGUUUCCAUUACUAGUUCUGCAGAAAUGUCCCCUUGGCUACUACCUCUCAUUUUCCUGACCUUUUCUAUUUGUCCUGGUUCAAAGUUGGGGGUCCCAGCAGGAGAAGGGUGGGUGUGGUGUUUUAUAACUCAGUCUCACCCCUCCCCUAGCUGGCAGUCACGAAGUCCUGCAGUCCAGCCUCAGGAGCAGGGGCACUGAGAUGGCAAGGACCUAGCUCGGAGCUCUGUGAAUGUGUAAAGAGUGAAGUCAUGCUCAGCAAAGGCACUCUACCAGGGGAUGGGUCUAGUGUGACAGGGCCCAGAAGAAAGGGUUACUUGCUCCCCCUCUGGUGGAAGGGCCCAGGGAAGGUUUCCUAGAGUUUAGUUUAAGCCAGGUUUUGAGGGAUGCGUAGGAAUUUGUGAGGCAAAGGAAGCAGCUUGAGCAAAAGCUGAAAGCCAAACAGAGGCAGCACGGCCCCUGGAGAGUGGCUGGGGUGGAGGGCUUGCCCCGGGCCACCUGCUGUGCCACCAAGGGUCCUGGGCCUCAGGAUCUGGGGUUCCCCUGCCACUCCCCUCCUCUCUCUCUCUGCCCAGUGCCGGGGGAAGUCAUUCUCCUACAUCCACCUGUGGACACGGCUGCUGUCCGCCCUGGCGGGCCUCCUCUACGCCUCAGCCAUUGUGGCCCAUGACCGGCAGCCCGAGUACCUGCUUCGGGCUACACCCUGGUUCCUGACCUCCCUGGGCCGAGCUGCUCUGGACCUUGCUGUAUCCACCCUAGGCCCCAUGGGUGGGGGAGGGGGGAGCUGAUUGCAGCCAGAGGAGGUCUGUGUCUCACCCCCAUACUCCCUCCUUCCCUCUUGUCGGUAGAACUCUUGAGAGAUGGGGUGGUUUGAAGCCUGGGACAGGCAGGCACAAAUGCGAUUAUUUGUGGUUUGGUGCUUCCCCUUUUUAAAACAAGAAGAAUUUAUCUCCUGGUUGGGGCUCUCUGAAACAGCAAAGAGGAGUGGCAGGCUCCUGGCCCUGUGGUCAGAAGCCUCAGGUGCUAGGCUCAGUUCAGCUCCCCAGGGAGUAUCUCCUCCGGAUUGGUGCCACUCUCGCCACUCCCAUGAGCCCUGAUCCCAGCCUUUCUCCCAGCCCUGCAGGCCCUGCUCAGGGAGUUGCUCCCUUUCUGCUCUGCUCUCUGGAGCUAGAGUCUGUGGUGCAGGAGCAAGGAUCAAAGCUGACAAAUGCUGCAUCUGUUGGUGACUGCAGAGCGCCUUUCUGGUUCUCCAGGUGUGCCUGAUGUGCUGGUACCCAGGUGACCUUGACAUGAGCGCUUCAAGGGCAAGCUAAACUCGGGCAGUGGACUGCAGGUUUGCUGGGGUCGAGGGCAGUGGUGACGGAGUGCGAAUAACCCAGCAGGGUGGUCCCUGAGGUUGAAGGCUCUGGGGAGACUCUUCCCUUGCCUCUCCCAGCUUCUGUAGCCCCUUGGCUUGUGGCCUCAUCAUCUUGGUUUCUGCCUGUAUCUUCAUAUAGCCUUCAUUUCUUCAUGCAUCUCUGGUGUCCUCUCUUCUUAUAAGGACUGUGGUCAUUAGAUGUUAAGACCCACCCCAAUCCACUGCGGCUUCCUCUUAAAUGAUUUCAUCAGCAAAGACCCUACUUGCAAAUUAAGGUCAUAUUCUAAGCUCCAGAUGGAUAUGAAUUUUCAAGAGACACUUGCAACCCACUUUAUGUUCUGUCACUGAGAGCCAGUCAGGAAAGAUGUUUUUCAAAAUGUUUUUGUUUAAUGAGUGUUUGCCAGGGGCAGGAGUGCAGAGAGAGACCUGACCCAGAUGAGCACUCAUCUGGGGACAGACAGGCAGGAUAAUUCUGGGAAAGGAAGGGACAGGAGCCCAGGGUGAGCAGGAUGGAGCAGGGGCUGCUGGGGAGGGUGCAUGUGGUGUGAGGGGCAGUGCCGGGCAGCUGGAAGCUUUCCACUUCCUUGUCCCUUAACUUCCAAAUCUCAGAUCAUCUUCCUUUCGUGUGUGAUGAAGAGCAAGAUGAGGCAAGCCUUAGGAUUCUCCACAGAAGCCAGAGAGAGCCCCGACACCCAGGCCCUUCUGACCUGUGCAGAGGAGGAGGGAGAGAACCAGGAGGCUGGGACCAAGGACAAGGUCUCUCCUGGGAAAACCUCUGGCCCCACAGAAGUGUUUACUAGCUGGAGAGUCUGAGAGCCUCGCAGAGGGCUGGGCUUGGGAACUCUGGAAGUCCUUCCACCAUUGGCCAGCUGGUCACUUAAAAAGCUGCUGUUUCUGUCCAAAGCUAAGUGACCCCAAAUGCAAUGGAAUCCUUUAUCUUCCCAGUUUUAAAAGUGUAUCAAGUUUAUUUAGUGAUAUACUUUUAACAAUGUAGGUGUAAUAGUCAAAUAUCCACUUCCAUUAUUUGGUAACAAAUGAACUCACAACUACAGCGCCAAUCCAUGUAUUAGUUUCACAAUUUGAUUUCCAUUCAUAUUUUAUAAAAAUAUGUCUGCCCACUUUCAUAUGGGUCUUUGAGAUCCAUAUCAUCACCUCCACAUGAUACAGUGUUCCAGAGCCCAUCACCAUACCAAGCCGUUUGGUCUGGACUUUGUGAGAAUCUGUGUGCAGUGCUGACUCUAGAAAUUUAUCUUAAGCCAUAAUGACCAUGUGCUCUUUGUGAUCACUGCACUGUAACCACACUACACUUUAGUUGAUAUUACUAAAAAACUGAUCUUCAGAAAUUUCAUUUACAAUAAUGACCACCAUUUAUGAUUUUGUUAUACCACUAGUAACUUAUUAUGUCUGAAACAAAUGUUUGUUUCCUUCACAUGUGUUUGUUACUAGGGAAUAACACUCUACCACUGAGCCACAUCCCCAGCCUUUUUUGAGACAAGGUCUUGCUAAGUUGCUCUGGCUGGCCUUGAACUUGUGAUCCUUCUG
rnacentral:lncRNA from 1 species